rnacentral:rRNA from 1 species
GAUGAACGCUGGCGGCGUGCCUAAUACAUGCGAGUCGAGCGAACAGACGAGGAGCUUGCUCCUCUGACGUUAGCGGCGGACGGGUGAGUAACACGUGGUUAACCUACCUAUAAGACUGGGAUAACUUCGGGAAACCGGAGCUAAUACCGGAUAAUAUAUUGAACCGCAUGGUUCAAUAGUGAAAGACGGUUUUGCUGUCACUUAUAGAUGGAUCCGCGCCGCAUUAGCUAGUUGGUAAGGUAACGGCUUACCAAGGCAACGAUGCGUAGCCGACCUGAGAGGGUGAUCGGCCACACUGGAACUGAGACACGGUCCAGACUCCUACGGGAGGCAGCAGUAGGGAAUCUUCCGCAAUGGGCGAAAGCCUGACGGAGCAACGCCGCGUGAGUGAUGAAGGUCUUCGGAUCGUAAAACUCUGUUAUUAGGGAAGAACAAAUGUGUAAGUAACUAUGCACGUCUUGACGGUACCUAAUCAGAAAGCCACGGCUAACCACGUG